GGAUUGUAGCUCAGUGGUAGAGCGUUCAUCUAGCACAUGCGAGGCCCUGGGUUCGAUCCCCAGCACCA
rnacentral:tRNA from 1 species